GAAAUGCGAUAAGUAAUGUGAAUUGCAGAAUUCAGUGAAUCAUCGAAUCUUUGAACGCACAUUGCGCCCGCCAGUAUUCUGGCGGGCAUGCCUGUUCGAGCGUCAUUACAACCCUCAGGCCCCCGGGCCUGGCGUUGGGAUCGGCGGAAGCCCCCUGCGGGCACAACGCCGUCCCCCAAAUACAGUGGCGGUCCCGCCGCAGCUUCCAUUGCGUAGUAGCUAACACCUCGCAACUGGAGAGCGGCGCGGCCACGCCGUAAAACACCCAACUUCUGAAUGUUGACCUCGAAUCAGGUAGGAAUACCCGCUGAACUUAAGC
rnacentral:misc_RNA from 1 species